UAGCUAGUAGGUGGGGUAAUGGCUCACCUAGGCGACGAUCCCUAGCUGGUCUGAGAGGAUGACCAGCCACACUGGAACUGAGACACGGUCCAGACUCCUACGGGAGGCAGCAGUGGGGAAUAUUGCACAAUGGGCGCAAGCCUGAUGCAGCCAUGCCGCGUGUAUGAAGAAGGCCUUCGGGUUGUAAAGUACUUUCAGCGAGGAGGAAGGUGUUGAGGUUAAUAACCUCAGCAAAGACGCUCUCGCAGAAGAAGC
rnacentral:rRNA from 1 species